GAUGAACGCUAGCGGCAGGCCUAACACAUGCAAGUCGAGGGGUAACAUUGUGCUUGCACAGAUGACGACCGGCGCACGGGUGCGUAACGCGUAUGCAAUGUGCCUUUUACAGUGGGAUAGCCCAGAGAAAUUUGGAUUAAUACCAUAUAGUUUAUUAGAGUGGCAUCACUUUAAUAAUAAAGAUUUAUCGGUAAAAGAUGAGCAUGCUUUCUAUUAGUUAGUUGGUGAGGUAACGGCUUACCAAGACAGCGAUAGAUAGGGGCCCUGAGAGGGGGAUCCCCCACACUGGUACUGAGACACGGACCAGACUCCUACGGGAGGCAGCAGUGAGGAAUAUUGGACAAUGGGCGAGAGCCUGAUCCAGCCAUGCCGCGUGCAGGAAGACUGCCCUAUGGGUUGUAAACUGCUUUUAUACAGGAAGAAACAUUGCUACGUGUAGCAGCUUGACGGUACUGUAAGAAUAAGGAUCGGCUAACUCCGUGCCAGCAGCCGCGGUAAUACGGAGGAUGCAAGCGUUAUCCGGAAUCAUUGGGUUUAAAGGGUCCGUAGGUGGAUAAUUAAGUCAGGGGUGAAAUCUUGCAGCUCAACUGUAAAAUUGCCUUUGAUACUGGUUAUCUUGAGUUAUUAUGAAGUAGUUAGAAUAUGUAGUGUAGCGGGGAAAUGCAUAGAUAUUACAUAGAACACCAAUGGCGAAGGCAGAUCACUGAUAAUCAACUGACACUGAU
rnacentral:rRNA from 1 species